AGAGCUGGAGCAGAUAUAACAUUAAUACUUGGCAAAUCUGGCUGACACAAGAAUUAGAGUGAAAACUUACUGUUUUUGCUGCUGACCUCUCAUGCUUUCCUAUGGCACCAGACCUCUGAUUUUGAAGAACAUCCUUUACAUACCGUCUGCUGAGAUGUCAGUAAAAAUGCCUUAUCCAGACCUGAGGAUCCAGCCAUACUGAAGAACAUGUGACCCAAAUUUCACAUCUGAGUCAAUCCUGAGACUUUGACAUGAACACUUGACAGAGAGGGCUUCUUA
rnacentral:lncRNA from 1 species